rnacentral:rRNA from 1 species
GGGGGACAACAUUUGGAAACGAAUGCUAAUACCGCAUAAAAACUUUAAACACAAGUUUUAAGUUUGAAAGAUGCAAUUGCAUUACUCAAAGAUGAUCCCGCGUUGUAUUAGCUAGUUGGUGAGGUAAAGGCUCACCAAGGCGAUGAUACAUAGCCGACCUGAGAGGGUGAUCGGCCACAUUGGGACUGAGACACGGCCCAAACUCCUACGGGAGGCAGCAGUAGGGAAUCUUCGGCAAUGGACGAAAGUCUGACCGAGCAACGCCGCGUGAGUGAAGAAGGUUUUCGGAUCGUAAAACUCUAUUGGUAGAGAAGAACGUUGGUGAGAGUGGAAAGCUCAUCAAGUGACGGUAACUACCCAGAAAGGGACGGCUAACUACGUGCCAGCAGCCGCGGUAAUACGUAGGUCCCGAGCGUUGUCCGGAUUUAUUGGGCGUAAAGCGAGCGCAGGUGGUUUAUUAAGUCUGGUGUAAAAGGCAGUGGCUCAACCAUUGUAUGCAUUGGAAACUGGUAGACUUGAGUGCAGGAGAGGAGAGUGGAAUUCCAUGUGUAGCGGUGAAAUGCGUAGAUAUAUGGAGGAACACCGGUGGCGAAAGCGGCUCUCUGGCCUGUAACUGACACUGAGGCUCGAAAGCGUGGGGAGCAAACAGGAUUAGAUACCCUGGUAGUCCACGCCGUAAACGAUGAGUGCUAGAUGUAGGAGCUAUAAGUUCUCUGUAUCGCAGCUAACGCAAUAAAUCA